UGGGGAAUAUUGGACAAUGGGGGCAACCCUGAUCCAGCAAUGCCGCGUGUGUGAAGAAGGUCUUCGGAUUGUAAAGCACUUUCGACGGGGACGAUGAUGACGGUACCCGUAGAAGAAGCCCCGGCUAACUUCGUGCCAGCAGCCGCGGUAAUACGAAGGGGGCUAGCGUUGCUCGGAAUGACUGGGCGUAAAGGGCGUGUAGGCGGUUUACACAGUCAGAUGUGAAAUCCCCGGGCUUAACCUGGGAGCUGCAUUUGAUACGUGUAGACUAGAGUGUGAGAGAGGGUUGUGGAAUUCCCAGUGUAGAGGUGAAAUUCGUAGAUAUUGGGAAGAACACCGGUGGCGAAGGCGGCAACCUGGCUCAUGACUGACGCUGAGGCGCGAAAGCGUGGGGAGCAAACAGGAUUAGAUACCCUGGUAGUCCACGCUGUAAACGAUGUGUGCUAGAUGUUGGGUAACUUUGUUAUUCAGUGUCGCAGUUAACGCGUUAAGCACACC
rnacentral:rRNA from 1 species